CGUUACUUGUCGGAGUGCCUUCGGGCUGAGAUCGCAUUAUUUGCGGGAUCCGUGAACCUGAUCAGGUUAAAACCUGCGUAGGGAACAAGCUGCCUUGCAAG
rnacentral:ncRNA from 1 species